AGUGAACGCUGGCGGUAGGCCUAACACAUGCAAGUCGAACGGCAGCACAGUAAGAGCUUGCUCUUACGGGUGGCGAGUGGCGGACGGGUGAGGAAUACAUCGGAAUCUACUUUUUCGUGGGGGAUAACGUAGGGAAACUUACGCUAAUACCGCAUACGACCUACGGGUGAAAGCAGGGGAUCUUCGGACCUUGCGCGAUUGAAUGAGCCGAUGUCGGAUUAGCUAGUUGGCGGGGUAAAGGCCCACCAAGGCGACGAUCCGUAGCUGGUCUGAGAGGAUGAUCAGCCACACUGGAACUGAGACACGGUCCAGACUCCGACGGGAGGCAGCAGUGGGGAAUAUUGGACAAUGGGCGCAAGCCUGAUCCAGCCAUACCGCGUGGGUGAAGAAGGCCUUCGGGUUGUAAAGCCCUUUUGUUGGGAAAGAAAAGCAGCAGGUUAAUACCCCGCUGUUCUGACGGUACCCAAAGAAUAAGCACCGGCUAACUUCGG
rnacentral:rRNA from 1 species